rnacentral:rRNA from 1 species
CCUACGGGAGGCAGCAGUGAGGAAUAUUGGUCAAUGGUCGGGAGCCUGAACCAGCCAAGUCGCGUGAGGGAUGACGGUCCUGUGUGUUGUAAACCUCUUUUGCCAGGGAGCAAAGUGCCGCACGUGUGCGGUUUUGAGAGUACCUGGAGAAAAAGCAUCGGCUAACUCCGUGCCAGCAGCCGCGGUAAUACGGAGGAUGCGAGCGUUAUCCGGAUUUAUUGGGUUUAAAGGGUGCGUAGGCGGACGCUUAAGUCAGCGGUAAAAGUGCGGGGCUCAACCUCGUCGAGCCGUUGAAACUGGGUGCCUCGAGUGGGCGAGAAGUAGGCGGAAUGCGCGGUGUAGCGGUGAAAUGCAUAGAUAUCACGCAGAACUCCGAUUGCGAAGGCAGCGUACCGGCGCCACACUGACGCUGAAGCACGAAAGCGUGGGUAUCGAACAGGAUUAGAUACCCUUGUAGUC